UACGUAGGGGGCUAGCGUUGUCCGGAUUUAUUGGGCGUAAAGAGCGUGUAGGCGGCCAGGUAGGUCCGUUGUGAAAACUCGAGGCUCAACCUCGAGCUGUCGAUGGAAACCAUCUGGCUAGAGUCCGGAAGAGGAAAGUGGAAUUCCAUGUGUAGCGGUGAAAUGCGUAGAGAUAUGGAGGAACACCAGUGGCGAAGGCGACUUUCUGGUCUGCAACUGACACUGAGGCGCGAAAGCGUGGGGAGCAAACAGG
rnacentral:rRNA from 1 species